GAUGAAGAACGUAGCGAAAUGCGAUAAGUAAUGUGAAUUGCAGAAUUCCGUGAAUCAUCGAAUCUUUGAACGCACAUUGCGCCCCCUGGUAUUCCGGGGGGCAUGCCUGUCCGAGCGUCAUUGCAACCCUCAAGCGCGGCUUGUGUGUUGGGCUUCGUCCCCCCGUGGACGUGCCCGAAAGGCAGUGGCGGCGUCCCGAAUGGUGCCCGAGCGUAUGGGAACUCUCUUCCGCUCGAACCGGCCCAUUCGGCGCUGGUCGAACCCCAAUUUUUUUUUACCGGUUGACCUCGGAUCAGGUAGGAAUACCCGCUGAACUUAAGCAUAUCAAUAAGCGGAGGA
rnacentral:misc_RNA from 1 species